GAUGAACGCUAGCGGCAGGCCUAACACAUGCAAGUCGAGGGGUAGAACACUUCGGUGUUUGAGACCGGCGCACGGGUGCGUAACGCGUAUGCAAUCUACCCUGUACAGGGGAAUAGCCCAGAGAAAUUUGGAUUAAUGCCCCAUAGUAUAUAACCUUCGCAUGUUGGUUAUAUUAAAGUUCCAACGGUACAAGAUGAGCAUGCGUCCCAUUAGUUAGUUGGUAAGGUAACGGCUUACCAAGACGAUGAGGGGUAGGGGUCCUGAGAGGGAGAUCCCCCACACUGGUACUGAGACACGGACCAGACUCCUACGGGAGGCAGCAGUGAGGAAUAUUGGUCAAUGGGCGCAAGCCUGAACCAGCCAUGCCGCGUGCAGGAAGACGGUCCUAUGGAUUGUAAACUGCUUUUAUACAGGAAGAAACCCUCCCACGUGUGGGAGAUUGACGGUACUGUAGGAAUAAGGAUCGGCUAACUCCGUGCCAGCCGCCGCAGUAACAC
rnacentral:rRNA from 1 species